rnacentral:rRNA from 1 species
CAGUAGCCGCGGGAAUACAGAGGGUGCGAGCGUUAAUCGGAUUUACUGGGCGUAAAGCGUGCGUAGGCGGCCAAUUGAGUCGGAUGUGAAAUCCCCGAGCUUAACUUGGGAAUUGCAUUCGAUACUGGUUAGCUAGAGUGUGGGAGAGGAUGGUAGAAUUCCAGGUGUAGCGGUGAAAUGCGUAGAGAUCUGGAGGAAUACCGAUGGCGAAGGCAGCCAUCUGGCCUAACACUGACGCUGAGGUACGAAAGCAUGGGGAGCAAACAGGACUAGAUACCCCUGUAGUCCCUGUCUCUUAUAC